GCUGGGCACAGUGGCGCGCGCCUGCAGUCCCAGCUACUGCGGAGGCUGAGGCAGGAGGAUUGAUUGAGCCCAGGAAUUCCAGGCCAGCCUGCGCAACACAGUGGAUCUCCGUU
rnacentral:sRNA from 1 species